rnacentral:lncRNA from 1 species
GUCAUCUUUUGGACUUUAUCAUAGGUUUCUGGAUGUAGUUUGAUUUCUAAUUAACCUCAAAAUUAUUGUCUUCUUAAUUUAUAUUAUUUACAAGGUAAAUUUGCACUAUUUUGUCGUCAACUUCUAGCCCUCUAACGUGUAUACUUAAUGAAAUUAAUCUUUGUAGAUUUAUCCCUUUUUUUUUGUUUUUUGUGAUAGACAAUUAAACUGAGACAAAAUAAAAGAUAUUUAAUUAGCUUGGUAGGCCACGAAUUAAAUAAGACGAAACGUUUUAAUCAAAUGAAGAACUUUAAACCUGUUCUUAAAUAUUUAUAGGCAACCCAUAAAUUUCUAAUUUGACCCUAACUCUAACCCGGAUGAAGAGAUGGAUUGCUAGAUCAAUUGUUCAACCACUAUCGACAUCCAAGAUCACAUAAUUAAUGUCUCCUUACUUGGCCAUUUUAACUAUACGAAUUCUUGAUUUAUCUAUAAAUUAAUUGGUUUAUUGUGCUGACAAUGGAAGUAAUUUAUUGAGUCCAUGUUUGACAAAGCUUUUGAGAUAACCAUUGUGCUACAUGUAUAUGAUAAUUUACAUAUAUACGAUGUGGUGAAAUAUGAUUGGACAUAUAAACCAUUAUGUAAUUACAUUACGUACAAAAAACAUUAUUCUUGAGAUUAUAAGCUUGUGGUCCCGUGGGCUAAGUUUGAUUAAUACCCUGAUUCUACUAUGAAAUAGAUAUCCGGUCUUGAUCACUUAUAGGAGAAAAACGUUGAGCACUUUUCAUUAUAAUAUUUUCCUUUAAAAUUUAACAUCAUUAAUUUAAGCAUUAUUAUCCAAUUGAUAUUAUAUUCUUGAAGACUUUAGACGACCCAGGAUCGAUCAGACGGGUUUUAUUACCCGAUUGAGAUAAAUUUUCUUAAAGACUAGAACAUUCAGAAAAUGAGCAAACGGUGAAAAAUAAUAAAACCUUAAGUCAAAUAUUAUGAGAUUAAUUUGAAAUGUGUUAAGAAAUUAAACGAGUACUUGAGGAAUUUAGAUAUUUGGUGUGGGGAGAAUUUCUCUUUUGUGUGGUUAUUUUACUCGUCAUAUGUUUCUAGCU